rnacentral:piRNA from 1 species
UGACAAACUUUAUUUUCCCAGGCAGG